AUUGAACGCUGGCGGCAGGCUUAACACAUGCAAGUCGAGCGGGGGGAGGUAGCUUGCUACCGGACCUAGCGGCGGACGGGUGAGUAAUGCUUAGGAAUCUGCCUAUUAGUGGGGGACAACAUCUCGAAAGGGAUGCUAAUACCGCAUACGUCCUACGGGAGAAAGCAGGGGAUCUUCGGACCUUGCGCUAAUAGAUGAGCCUAAGUCGGAUUAGCUAGUUGGUGGGGUAAAGGCCUACCAAGGCGACGAUCUGUAGCGGGUCUGAGAGGAUGAUCCGCCAAACUGGGACUGGGACACGGCCCAGACGCCUACGGGAGGCAGCAGUGGGGAAUAUUGGACAAUGGGGGAAACCCUGAUCCAGCCAUGCCGCGUGUGUGAAGAAGGCCUUAUGGUUGUAAAGCACUUUAAGCGAGGAGGAGGCUACUUUAGUUAAUACCUAGAGAUAGUGGACGUUACUCGCAGAAUAAGCACCGGCUAACUCUGUGCCAGCCGCCGCGGUAA
rnacentral:rRNA from 1 species